UACGUAGGGGGCAAGCGUUGUUCGGAAUUACUGGGCGUAAAGGGCGCGUAGGCGGCAGGCCAAGUCGGGAGUGAAAGCCCGGGGCUCAACCCCGGAAUGUCUUUCGAAACUGGCCAGCUCGAGUGCGGAAGAGGCAACUGGAAUUCCCAGUGUAGCGGUGAAAUGCGUAGAUAUUGGGAAGAACACCUGAGGCGAAGGCGGGUUGCUGGGCCGACACUGACGCUGAGGCGCGAAAGCCAGGGGAGCAAACGGG
rnacentral:rRNA from 1 species